rnacentral:rRNA from 1 species
GAUGAACGCUGGCGGCGUGCCUAAUACAUGCAAGUCGAGCGAACAGAUAAGGAGCUUGCUCCUUUGACGUUAGCGGCGGACGGGUGAGUAACACGUGGGUAACCUACCUAUAAGACUGGUAUAACUUCGGGAAACCGGAGCUAAUACCGGAUAACAUUUGGAACCGCAUGGUUCUAUAGUGAAAGAUGGUUUUGCUAUCACUUAUAGAUGGACCCGCGCCGUAUUAGCUAGUUGGUAAGGUAACGGCUUACCAAGGCAACGAUACGUAGCCGACCUGAGAGGGUGGUCGGCCACACUGGAACUGAGACACGGUCCAGACUCCUACGGGAGGCAGCAGUAGGGAAUCUUCCGCAAUGGGCGAAAGCCUGACGGAGCAACGCCGCGUGAGUGAUGACGGGGUUCGGCUCGUAAAACUCUGUUAUUAGGGAAGAACAAACGUGUAAGUAACUGUGCACGUCUUGACGGUACCUAAUCAGAAAGCCACGGCUAACUACGUG